rnacentral:tRNA from 1 species
AAAAAUUUAGUUAAAAUAUAACAUUAGCUUGUCAAGCUAAAAUUACUUGGGGGGUAAUUUUUA